AACGAACGCUGGCGGCAUGCCUAACACAUGCAAGUCGAACGAGACCUCCGGGCCUAGUGGCGCUGGGGGGCGUAACGAGUGGGAACUAGCACGUAGGUUACGAAUAAUUCACUUUAGGGGGAGUUAAUGCCGGUUAAUGUCAUCGGACAAAAGAUCUACCGCCUUUGGAUGGGCCUUGGUUGGUUUAGCCGGUUGGUAGGGUAAAAGCCUAUCAAGGCGUCGUUCCUUAGCUGGUGUGAGAGGAUGACCAACCACACUGGGACUCCGACACGGCCCAGACUCCGACGGAGGGCAGCAGUGGGGAAUAUUGGGCGAGGGACGAAGGCCUGAUCCAGCAAUGCCGGGUAAGUGAUGAAGGCCUUAGGGUUGUGAAGCUCUUUUACCCGGGACGAUAAUGACAGUACCGGGAGAAUAAGCACCGGCUAACUCCGUG
rnacentral:rRNA from 1 species